AGAAUUCACGAAUCUCAAACAGAAUCUCAAAGUCAGAGACUACCUAGUCUAACAUCUACCUGAACAGGAAUUUCUUAACAAUUUAAGAAUUCCUCAGCUGGGCCUCAUUCAGCCUCCAUCUGAAGACCUUACAUGGGAGGAUGAUCCUUCUGAGACAGUCUACUCCAAUUCUGGAUGGAUCAAUGCAAGGGCCAAACUUGAUGCCAAUGCAUACAGUGGUGGCCUUGGAGUCAGGAGAACCCAAGUCUGAAACUCACCUCAGAUGUGCUAGCUGUGUAACCUUGGGUGGUUUCCUCUAUCCAAUUUGUUUUAUGAGGAUGGUCCCAGUUCUGAGAAGAUAAGAAGGCCAUCUGGAUGCAGCAGUACAAAACCAAUCAAGGAUUCCAAGGCCCUCUUGUACCCUUGUUCUGAGCACCAGAAUGCGAAAAUGAAAGUUUUCCAUAGUCCAUCUUGACAAAAACACUUAUGGAGCAAGGAAAACGCUGGUGACUACAUUGCUCAGUAAGAAUAACAGGAAGAGUUCUUCCAGAUCUUAAAAGUGCCUGAAAAUCUUCAAGCAGAACUAGAGCAGGCCACCAAUUUAGUUGUCACUGGAAGGAGGCAAUUCAACAAAUAUUCACUGAGUGUCUAACACGUGC